rnacentral:rRNA from 1 species
GAUGAACGCUGGCGGCGUGCCUAAUACAUGCAAGUCGAGCGAACGGACGAGAGGCUUGCUUCUCUGAUGUUAGCGGCGGACGGGUGAGUAACACGUGGAUAACCUACCUAUAAGACUGGGAUAACUUCGGGAAACCGGAGCUAAUACCGGAUAAUAUUUUGAACCGCAUGGUUCAAAAGUGAAAGACGGUCUUGCUGUCACUUAUAGAUGGAUCCGCGCUGCAUUAGCUAGUUGGUAAGGUAACGGCUUACCAAGGCAACGAUGCAUAGCCGACCUGAGAGGGUGAUCGGCCACACUGGAACUGAGACACGGUCCAGACUCCUACGGGAGGCAGCAGUAGGGAAUCUUCCGCAAUGGGCGAAAGCCUGACGGAGCAACGCCGAGUGAGUGAUGAAGGUCUUCGGAUCGUAAAACUCUGUUAUUAGGGAAGAACAUAUGUGUAAGUAACUGUGCACAUCUUGACGGUACCUAAUCAGAAAGCCACGGCUAACUACGUG